AUGCCACAAAAUGAAUAUACUAAAUUGCAAACGCAAACAAUAUGGAUAUCAUUUGGACUACCAUGAGAAAAAGAGAAAGGUCGGGAGGCCCAUGAACAUUCAAAGAAGGAAAAAAAAAUGGCCUGAAGGCUAAGCUCUACCAUAAACACUCCAUGCCGAGAAAAUACAAGUGAAAAAGACCAUCAAGAUGCAUGAAAAGAGAAACACCAAGCAGAAGGAUGAUGGGACGACUCCACAGGGCGCUGUCCCUGCCAUCCCCGCCUAUCUGCUGGACAGAGAGGGGCAGUUGAAAGUGAAAGUACUUUCCAACAUGAUUAAGCAGAGAUGAAAAGAAAAGAUGGGAAAACGGAAGGUCCCUCUACCCAAAGUUCCUGCCUAAGGAGAAACAGAAGUAUUGAAUUUAUUCAAACAGGAAAAAGGAAAAAGAAGGCAUGGAAGAGAAUGGUAACUAAAGUCUGCUCUGUUGGCGAUGGCUUCACAAGAAAACCACCUAACUGUGAAAAGUUCGUUAGGUCAAUGGGUCUACGUUUCAAAAAAGCCCAUGUCACGCACCCUGAGCUGAAAGCUACCUUGUGCCUGCCUAUUCUCGGUGUGAAAAAGAAUCCAUCAUCCCCAUUAUAUACAACCCUGGGUGUGAUCACCAGUUACUGAAGUGGAUGAGAGCGAGCUGGGCCUUGUGAUACAAGGAGGCAAGGUGAUUUGGAGAAAGUGUGCUCAAGUUCCCAACAAUCCUGAGAACGAUGGGUGCAUUAAAUGCGGUCUUGCUGGUCUGA
rnacentral:lncRNA from 1 species